CCUACGGGGGGCAGCAGUAGGGAAUCUUCCACAAUGGACGAAAGCCUGAUGGAGCAACGCCGCGUGUGUGAAGAAGGGUUUCGGCUCGUAAAGCUCUGUUGGUAGUGAAGAAAGCUAGAGGUAGUAUCUGGCCUUUAUUUGACGGUAAUUACUUAGAAAGUCACGGCUAACUACGUGCCAGCAGCCGCGGUAAUACGUAGGUGGCAAGCGUUGUCCGGAUUUAUUGGGCGUAAAGCGAGUGCAGGCGGUUCAAUAAGUCUGAUGUGAAAGCCUUCGGCUCAACCGGAGAAUUGCAUCAGAAACUGGUAGACUUGAGUGCAGAAGAGGGGAGUAGAACUCCAGGUGUAGCGGUGGAAUGCGUAGAGAUAUGGAAGAACACCAGUGGCGAAGGCGGCUCUCUGGACAGCAACUGACGCUGAGGCUCGAAAGCAUGGGGAGCGAACAGGAUUAGAUACCCGAGUAGUC
rnacentral:rRNA from 1 species